AAGAUUCCCGGGACCAUAGAUGUGAUUGGCGGACAGACUGCCUCCAUUAGCAGGGUGGAAGGACGACGUCGCCACAAUCUGGAGGGGAAUAACAUCCAGGUGAUCUCGGAACAUCCCAGCUCUGAGGCUGAACCCGCCAAGAUGCCUCCUCCUUUCUUUCCCCCGGGACCGCUGCCUCCAAACAUCCCACCUCCUCCAUUCCUCCCUCCUCCUGUCAGUCAGGCUCCACCUCUGAUCCCACCUCCACGGAUGCCCAUCACCAUUCCUCCACCCAAUUUUCCCCCUCCUACUGGAGGACCUCCUCCUUCACUUAUCCCUACUAUGGACAAGUAGGCA